rnacentral:rRNA from 1 species
UACGUAGGAUGCAAGCGUUGUUCGGAAUUACUGGGCGUAAAGAGUACGUAGGCGGUUUGAUAAGUCAGGGGUGAAAUCCUGGAGCUCAACUCCAGAACUGCCUUUGAUACUGAGAAUCUUGAGUACGGGAGAGGUGAGUGGAACUGCGAGUGUAGAGGUGAAAUUCGUAGAUAUUCGCAAGAACACCAGUGGCGAAGGCGGCUCACUGGCCCGUAACUGACGCUGAGGCACGAAAGCGUGGGGAGCAAACAGG